rnacentral:rRNA from 1 species
UACGUAGGUGACCAGCGUUGUCCGGAUUUACUGGGCGUAAAGAGCGCGCAGGCGGUCGUGCAAGUCGAGUGUGAAAGCCCCCGGCUCAACUGGGGAGGGUCAUUCGAUACUGAUCGACUGGAAGGCAGGAGAGGGAAGCGGAAUUCCCGGUGUAGUGGUGAAAUGCGUAGAUAUCGGGAGGAACACCAGUGGCGAAGGCGGCUUCCUGGCCUGUUCUUGACGCUGAGGCGCGAAAGCUAGGGGAGCAAACGGG